rnacentral:rRNA from 1 species
CCUACGGGAGGCUGCAGUGGGGAAUAUUGGGCAAUGGAGGCAACUCUGACCCAGUAACGCCGCGUGAAUGAUGAAGGUCUUCGGAUUGUAAAGUUCUGUGAUGGGGGAUGAACACAAUGACGGUACCCCAAUAGCAAGCCACGGUUAACUAGGUGCCAGCAGCCGCGGUAAUACGUAGGUGGCAAGCGUUAUCCGGAAUGACUGGGCGUAAAGGGUGCGUAGGUGGGUGAGGAAGUUGGCGGUGUAAUGCCGUGGCUCAACCACGGCGCUACCUGCAAAACUAUUAGACUAGAGUGCAGGAGGGGUAAGUGGAAUUCCUAGUGUAGCGGUGGAAUGCGUAGAUAUUAGGAGGAACACCAGGGGCGAAGGCGACUUACUGGACUGUAACUGACGCUGAGGCACGAAAGCGUGGGGAGCAAACAGGAUUAGAUACCCCAGUAGUC